AUGCAAGUCGAACGAUUCCUGUAUCUUCGGAUACAGGGAGUGGCAAACGGCUGAGUAACGCGUAGGAACCUACCCCAAACUCGAGUAUAGCCCCGCGAAAGCGGGGGUAAUCCUCGAUAGCCCGUGAAGUAUUUUACUUCACGGUAAAGCUUUUGCGGUUUGGGAUGGGCCUGCGUCCUAUCAGGUAGUUGGUGAGGUAAAUGCUCACCAAGCCUAUGACGGGUAGCUGGUCUGAGAGGAUGGUCAGCCAGACUGGGGCUGCGACACGGCCCAGACUCCUACGGGAGGCAGCAACUAGGAAUUGUGCGCAAUGGACGAAAGUCUGACGCCGCGACAUCGCGUGGAGGAUGAAGGUCUUCGGAUUGUAAACUCCUUUUCUUACCGAACAAGUUCUGAGUGUAGGUAAGGAAUAAGUGCCUGCUAACCACGUGCCAGAAGCAUCGGUAAUACGUGGGGCACGAGCGUUAUCCGGAUUUACUGGGCGUAAAGAGAAGCGUAGGCGGCUCGAUAAGUUUGGUGUUAAAUCUUCCGGCUCAACCGGAAACAAGCACCGAAAACUAUCGAGAUUGAGUCGAGUAGGGAAGAGGGGAACUCCUGGUGGAGCGGUUAAAUGCGUAGAUAUCAGGAGGAAUACCAAGGGCGAAGGCACCCCUUUGGACUCGUACUGACGCUGAGGCUCGAAAGCGUGGGUAGCAAAACGGAUUAGAUACCCGUGUAGUCCACGCCGUAAACGAUCCCUGUUAG
rnacentral:rRNA from 1 species